rnacentral:rRNA from 1 species
AAAAACAUCGCCUCCCGCCACCAAUGAGAGGUCCAGCCUGCCCAGUGACAAGCUUAAACGGCCACGGUACCCUAACCGCGCAAAGGUAGCACAAUCACUUGUUCUUUAAAUCAGGACUAGUAUGAACGGCACCACGAGGGUUAUACUGUCUCCCCCCUCUAAUCAGUGAAACUAAUCUCCCCGUGAAGAAGCGGGGAUAAACCUAUAAGACAAGAAGACCCCAUGGAGCUUUAAACUAAGUACCACCUGCCCAUCCCCACAUCACCCCAACCCAGCAGACCUGCCCUACUAGUUUUCGGUUGGGGUGACCGCGGAGAAAAACAAAACCUCCACGACGAAAGGACCUUCAUCCUAAUCAAAGGGCUACCACCCAUAGAAUCAUUAAAUUGACCAAAAUUGACCCAAUACCUUGAGCAACGAACCAAGUUACCCUGGGGAUAACAGCGCAAUCCACUUCAAGAGCCCCUAUCGACAAGUGGGUUUACGACCUCGAUGUUGGAUCAGGGUACCCCAGUGGUGCAGCCGCUACUAAAGGUUCGUUUGUUCAACGAUUAAAACCCUACGUGAUCUGAG